ensembl:lncRNA
AUGGAAGUGGACAAAGUACAGAACAGGAUUGGAAGAAGGGUGCUAAAGAUAUUACAGAGUCAAUGGGGGGAGGAAGAACUCAGAGGAAGAAUUGAUCUAAAAAUGCAGAAUGAUAAGAUUGCUAAAGUUGAAAACCAGGCUGAUGAGGAUUCCCCAGAACAGGUAUCGCGGAGUGUGGAGGAGGUACCAUUGGGCCAGCAGCGAGAUGUAGAACUGGAGCAGGUGGAGAAAGCCUUUGAAAAGGAGGAAGGGAGUGAGGAUCUACCUGAUAACCCUGGAGGAGAGGUCACAUCAGACCAGAAUGAGUCCACAACAGAGCAAGCAGUUGGUUUGCAAGAACAUCCUUUACAGCUGCACAAAGAAGGAAGAACCAAUUGGGAAGAAACAUGGGGCAGAGAUGAACGCCUUGUAGAAGACGAGAAGGGAGGAGAAGCAGAAGAAGAAGCAAAAGAGUUAGAGAUGGAAGAGCCUGUGACUGUUUUAGAUGACGAGACUGAAGAGAUGGAGGCCAGUCCAUGGACGGAAGAUAAAGAUCAAAAGCCUGCGUCUCUAACACCUCCUUCUGGACACACUGUAGUAGAGACAAUGGAUCCAGAUCAUCAAGAAGAGCAGCUUGAACUUGCUCCAGAGAAAGAUGAGAAAAUUACCGAUGGAAAAGAAGAGCAACAAAAGAGUGACAAACAGAGACAGGAAAAGGUAAAGAAGGAUGAGAAGCAGAAAUAUGAAGAGUUAGAGGUAGAGAAAGAAGAUGGGAAACAAAGUGAUGAACAACAACAGAUAGAGAAGGACGAAAAACUAAAAGAUGAAAAAGAAGAGGUGGAGAGGGAUGAAAAACACAGGGAUGAAGAAGAACAUGGGGAAAAAGAGGAGAACCCAAACAGUGGCAACAGAGAAGUAGAAUUAGAUAUAAAUGGAAGAUUUAAAGGACCGGAACAAGCAAUGGAGAAUGGGAUCUUGUGUCAGGAGCCACAGCCUCUCAGGAUGGAAGAAUUAGGGACGGUAAGAGUGCUGCCGCCCAGAAGGAAGGAUAACGACUGGAGCAAAAAAGUGCAACCAGAGGAAGUGAGAGCCCCAGAAGUGAAACUCUGGAGGAAUGAACUGAGGCCUGUGAAAAAAAGAUGUCUGGGAAUCUGA